AUUCCAGCUCCAAUAGCGUACAUUAAAGUUGUUGCAGUUAAAAAGCUCGUAGUUGGAUCUCAGAAGGACUUCAGUUUGUCGGCCUAACUGGUCGGAACCGGCUGUCUCUUUCUUGUUUCUGAAUCCCGCCUGAUGUUCAUUCAUCAGGUGUGGACUUCAGAUCGUUUACCUUGAAAAAAUUAGAGUGUUCAAAGCGGGCGUUUGCUUGAAUAUAUUAGCAUGGAAUAAUGGAAUAGGACCCUGGUCUUAUUUUGUUGGUUUUGAGGACUAGAGUAAUGAUUAAUAGGGAUAGUUGGGGGCAUUCAUAUUUAAUUGUCAGAGGUGAAAUUCUUGGAUUUAUGAAAGAUGAACUUCUGCGAAAGCAUUUGCCAAGGAUGUUUUCAUUG
rnacentral:rRNA from 1 species